rnacentral:tRNA from 1 species
GGGCCCGUAGCUCAGCCAGGAUAGAGCGCCGGCCUCCUAUGCCGGAUGUCGGGGGUUCGAAUCCCCUCGGGCCCGCCA